rnacentral:rRNA from 1 species
AGUUACUUUAACAACCAGGAGGUUGGCUUAGAAGCAGCCAUCCUUUAAAGAAAGCGUAAUAGCUCACUGGUCUAGUGAUUUCGCGCGGAAAAUAUAACGGGGCUAAAAUGAGUACCGAAGCUUUAGACUUAGUUUUUAACUAAGUGGUAGGAGAGCGUUCUAUUCAGCGUUGAAGGUAUACCGGUAAGGAGUGCUGGAGCGGAUAGAAGUGAGCAUGCAGGCAUGAGUAGCGAUAAAAGGGGUGAGAAUCCCCUUCGCCGUAAACCCAAG